CGGCAGCGCGGAAGGCCAGCCUGCAGAGAGGCUGGGCCCAGCGCCCUGACUGACCCAGCCCCGCCACGUCCAAGGUUCCCGCCCUCUGGAGGAAGCCGCGCAAUCACUCCGGGGGCGGGGAGAGACAGACAACUGAGAGGAAGGAGGUACCACGGGCACUCUCUCGCGAGAGGGCCGCAGAGCCGCCUUUGACGGGGGCGUGUACCUGGAGAGCAACGGAGCCUAUGAGGUUGGUCCUAUUUUUACUCUCACUUAUCCCUACUUACCAGAUGAGGAUCCUGAGGCUCAGAAAAACUCUUGACAAAAUUCUCAGGGAAAACUCUUCAGCUCUGGAUGUCUCCCUUUUUGUGGAUCAAACACAAAGGGCAUCAUUCUAAAAUAUAUACAGAACCAUAAAAGCCCCAAAUAGCCAAAGCAACCCUGAGCAAAAAGAACAAGGCUGGAAGCAUCACACUACCAGACUUCAAAAUUUACUACAAAGCUCUAAUACCUAAAAUAACAUGGUACUGGCAUUAAAAAAAAAAAAAAAAUAGGCACAUAGACCACCAAUGAAACAGUAUAGAGAAUCUAGAUAUACCAACUCAUCUUUAACAAAGGUGCCAAGAACAUACAAUGAGGAAACGAUGGUCUUUUCAAUAAAUGGUGUGGGGGAAAGCUAGAUAACUAUAUGCAGAAGAAUGAAACAAGAUUCCUCUCUCUCGCUAUACACAAAAAUCAAAUCAAAAUGGAUUAAAGGCUUAAAUCUAAGACCUGAAACUACAAAACUAGAAGAACACACUGGAGAAGUGCUCCAGGACCUUGGUCUGGGAAAAGAUUUUUUUGUUUAAGACCUCAAAAGCACAGACAACAAAGCAAAAACAGACAAAUGAGAUUACAUUAAGCUAAAAAGUUUCUGCACAGCAAAGGAAACACUCAACAGAGUGGGGGAGACAACCCACAGAAUGAGAGAAAACAUUUUCAAACUAUCCAUCCGACAAGGGAUUAAUGACCAGAAUAAAGAGACCAAACAAUUUAAGCCAAAAACAAAACAAACAAACACACAAAAAAAACAAAAGCCAAAUAAUCUAAAAAGUGGGCAGGUUGGGUGGGGUGGCUCAAGCCUAUAAUCCCAGCACUUUGGGAGGCCAAGGCAGGCAGGUCAAGAGAUCGAGACCAUCCUGGCCAACAUGGUGAAACCCCAUCUCUACUGAAAAUACAAAAAAAAUUAGCCGGGUGUGGUGGCAUGUGCCUGUAGUCCCAGCUACUUGGGAAGCUGAGGCAGUGAGAAUCGCUUGAACCUGGGAGGCAGAGGUUGCAGUGAACCAAGAUCACACAACUGCACUCCAGCCUGAUGACAGAGCGAGACUCCAUCUUGAAAAAAAAAAAAAAAAAAGUGGGCAAAAGAUCCAAACAGACAUUUCUCAAAGGAAGACAUAAAAAUGGCCAACAGGUAUAUGAAAAAAUGCUCAACAUUACUAAUCAUUAGAGAAAUGCAAAUUAAAACAACAUGUUAUUUCACCCCAGUUAAAAUGGCUUGUAUUAAGAAAACAGAUAAUAACAGAUGCUAGUGAGGAUGUGGAGAAAAGAGAACCCUCAUACACUGUUGGUAGAAAUGUAAACUAGUACAACCACUAUGAAGAACAGUAUGGAAGUUCUUCAAAAAACUAAAAAUAGAAUUACCAUAUGAUCCAGCAAUUCCACUACUGAAUAUGUAUCCAAAAGAAAGGAAAUCCGUAUAUCAAAAAGAUAUCUGCACUCCCAUGUUUAUUGCAGCAUUGUUCACAAUAGCCAAGAUAUGGAAUUAACCUAAGUGCCCAUCAAUGGGUGAAUGGAUAAAGUGUGGUAUGUAUGCACAAUGAAAUAUUAAUCAGCCAUAAAAAAUAAUGAAACCCUCUCAUUUGCAGCAACAUGGAUGAUACUGGCGACCACUAUGUUAAAUAAGCCAAGUACAUAAAGACAAAUAUUGCAUGUUGUCAGUCAUACAUGGGAGCUAAAAAUGUGGAUUUCAUGAUGACACAGAGUACAUUGGUGGUUACCAGAAGCCAGAAAGGAGGGGAUGGAGUAGGGGAUGAAGGGGGAAAAAGGAUAUAAGUGUACUUAUUACCACUGAACUGUACACUUAAAAUGGUAAAGAUGGUAUGUUAUGUAUUACCUCAGUUUACAAAAGAAAAAACAAAUGGCAUCAACGUUAAUAAGUGUAAAAGUUGUACUAGGGAUAAAUCCGCCAUUUAAAAGGGAAAUUAGAAAUCUGAAAUAAUGAGUGCAGUUAGACUCUGAAACCCUUGAAGUCCCCAAAAGUCUCAUUCAGAACUGGUCCCAAAAUGAAUACGUACUUUUGUAUCAUUGUCUAAUUAAAGCUGCUUUUUUCAAGUAUUAGUUUGCUUCAAAAUUAAUCUUUUUAUUUGUACUAUUAUUAUGAGUGUUAUUUCCUAUUCUUCAGGUAUAUUUUUUGGAGAACAGUGUUAGUGAAAAGAGCUUGACUGUUAGACAGUCUUGAGUUAAAAUUCACGUUAGCUGUGACGAAGAAACUAUUACAUUAAAUUUUAAUUACUUAAUUUUAUUAUCUACAAUUAAGGAUAAUAAUAUCACCAAAGGUUGUGGAGAGGAUUUAAUGGGAUGACACAUAAAACUAGGACAUAGAGGCAUCUAGCAAAUACACACUUCCUUCCCUUCUCCCUUGUUAUAUACUUAUCCACACGGGCUAGGAUUUCUUUGAAGGAACCAUUUCUAUCUUAGCCAGUGUUCUAUCUGAGGUAUUUGAUGCUCUCUGCUUUUUUCUUUCACACCCCACUUUCAGUCUCUCAGUAUGUACUGUGAGCUCUGCUUUCAGACUAGAUUCGUAACUCAGUGAUUUCCUACUCCUCCACAACCACCACCCUGGUCCAGGCCAUCAUCAUUUUUCAUCUGGACUACUGUAGUCACUUCCUAACUGGACUCCCAACUUCCACUCUUGCUGCUUGCCAUUUAUUGUUCACAUAGCAGCCAAAGUUAUUCUUUCAUAAAUUAGAUCAUGUCACUUCUCUGCUCAAAACCUUCCAAGAGCUCUCCACCACUUUUAGACUAAAUAUCUGAAGUCCUUACCAAAUCCUACUAGAUCUAUGUGAUUUGACCCCAGCCUAUCAUUCGGACUUCAGACCUCUCUCCUGCUACCUUACUGUGCUCCAGCAGCACUGGCCUCCUUGCUGUUCUUUUUUUUUUUUUUUUUUUUUUUUGAGAUGGAGUUUUGCUCUUGUUGCCCAGGCUGGGGUGCAAUGCUGUGAUCUUGGCUCACUACAACUUCCGCCUUCCAGGUUCAAGCAAUUCUCCUGCCUCAGCCACCCAAGUAACUGGGAUUACAGGCGCCUGCCACCACACUCAGCCAAUUUUUUGUAUUUUUAGCAGAGAUGAGGUUUCACCAUGUUGGCCAGGCUGGUCUCGAACUCCUGACCUCAGGUGAUCCUCCUGCCUUGGCCUCCCAAAGUGUUGGGAUUACAGGCAUGAGCCACCGCUCCCAGCCCUCCUUCCUGUUCUUUGAUGGUGCCAAGCAUACUCCUGCCUUGGGGCCUUUACAUCUGCUGUUCCCUCUGCCUGGAAUGCUCUUUCUAGAUUUUUAAUGCCUUACUUUCUCAUUUUCUAACUCAGAGAGGCUGAACCUAGGUACCUCAUUUUAAACAGAUACCCCUGCAAGGGUUUCUUCCUCUCCUUAUGCUUAUUUUCCUCAUAGCACUUACCCCACAUUGAUAUUGAGAUUUUUUUUCUUUCUUUUCUUUCUUUUUCUCUUUCUUUCUUUUUCUUUCUCUUUCCUUCCUUCCUUCCUUUCAUUCUUUUCUUUUUCCUUCCUUCCUUCCAUUCUUUUCUCUCUCCUUCCUUCCUUCUCCCUUCCCUCCCCUCCCCUCCCCUCAUAUAGGGGUCUCACUAUGUUGCCCAGGCUCCUGGACUCAAGUGAUCUUCCCACCUUAGCCUCCCAAGUAGCUGGGAUUAUAGGCACACACCAGCACACCUGACUCUAUGUAGUCCCACCUGAAAUGUAAGUUUCCCUCUGAAAUACAGGUUCAAUACUUUGUUUUGUUCACUUUGUAUCAUCAGCAUUUACAUCUGCCAGGCAUUCAAAAAUAUUCGUUGAAUAAGUAAGUGAGCAAACUUACCUGCUUCCACAGCCAUCCUUUCCCCUCUCCCUAGAGAUGUUUUUCUUCCUGUCUGAGAUUAUAAUGUCUCCCCUGUGUCCUGCCUCCUCAGCAUUCCUUAAUAUUGCCUAUCUUCCACAUUCAGUUCUCCCUGGCUACAUUUUUUGUUUUCUGGCAAGCAUACAUCUCUCCCAUCUUAAAUUAAAACAAAAAAAGAGAAAGAAAAUUCUCUCUGGGCAUCCCCUGUCAGCUGCCAGUCUCUGUCUCUCCUGCUCUUAACAAACUUUUGAAAUAUUUAUUUAUACUCUUUGCAUUGCCUCAAUUCUCUUUCAUUCAAGUUUCUCCAAACCCAUAGAAACUGUUCACUCCUGCUUUAAACUUUCUUUCCUGAGCUCUUCCAAGAUAUUACUCUCUUAUUGUUUUUUUAAUCUUACUUCCCUGAUUGCUACUUUUCCUGUCCCUCCCUCAAAUUUUGUAUAUCACAGCGUUCUGAUACAAGUUCUUCAUGUUCUCCAGAUUCUUCCUUGGCAAUCUUACUACAUCCAUUGCUUUAGUUACCACCUAAACCUGGAAGCCCAGCUCAGAUUUCUCUGUACUAAGCUCAUGACUUAUUUGACCUAGUGUCUACUUGAUAUCCACCUUGAUUUCCACAAGCACCUCAAAAUAAAGAUGCCCUCUUCCAUCUCCAAACUUGAUUCUCCUCCAGUGUUACUUAUUUUAGUGAGUGGUAGCAUCAUCCAGUUGCUCAAGUAGAAAACAUGGAUAUUGUCCUUGAUUUAUCCUUCGCCUUCAGCCCCCUUCCCCCAUUUAGCCAACCAUUGGCUUCCAUUAAUUCUAUUACAGUGAGAGAAAUUGUAUCCCCCCAGAAAGAUAUGUGAAAGUCCCAGCCCCCACUGCUUAUGAAUGUGAUCUUACUUAGGGUCUUUGUAGAUGUAAUUCAGGAUCUUGAGAGGUGAUUAUCCCGGAUUAGGGAGGGCCCUAAAUCCAAUGACUGAUGUCCUUAAACAUGAAAGGAGAGGGAGAUGUGAGACAAAGACACAGGGGAGAAUGCCAUGUGAAGAUCCCUAUAAGGCUGGAGAGAGAGAUUGGAGUGAUGCUGCUACAGGCCAAAGAACACCAAGAAUUGCCAACCCCAUUGACAGCCUGAUUUCAGACUUCUGACCUCCAAAACUGUAAGAGAAUAAAUUCUGCUUUUUUAAGUCAUGAGGUUUGUAGUAAUCUGUUAUGGUAGUCCCAGGAAACAAAUUUUCUACCUUCUAAAUAGCUCUGAAAUCCAUCUAUGUUUCUCUACCAACACUGCUGCUAACUAGUUCAGAUCAUGAUUAAUCUUCUGCCUCAUCUCCCUGCUACUAGUCUCAGCCCAUCUUUCUAAAAUGCAUGAAAUUCAUUCCACUAUUUAAAAUCUGUUGAGUAGUUUGCCAGUGACUUGGAUUAAGUCUAAAUGCCUAGUAUCAUGGUUUAUGGGACUUUAUAAUUUGGCUUCUGCCUACUUGUGUAGCCUUCUUUUCCCACUCACCCUCAAUUCUGUUUUUUGUUUUGUUUUUUGUUUGUUUUUGAGACAGAGUUUCUAUUGUUGCCCAGGCUGAAGUGCAAUGGUGCGAUCUCGGCUCACCAGAUCAAGGUUCAAGCGCUUCUCCUCCCUCGGCCUCCCAGGUGGAUGGAAAGCCGAUUUCCAGUCUUUAUGAUAACGCCGAUGUUCCACUUGGGAAAGAUACUGUACAACAAUGAAAGUAGCCCUUUCUUUUGUCUUUCAAAGAAUGUAUUUUUAACAAACAGCCUCUGUGUGAUCCUUUUGACCACACAAUUUGUAGAGUUAACGCUGAAAUUUUCAUUAGCAACAAUGAAAGCACACACAGGCACAAUAUUAAUAUAGAUUAAUAUCAGCCUAUUUUGGUCAGAAAGGCUCAUUUAAAUGUUUAAGAGACAGAAGUCCCAAAUUGUAGUAAUUUCUUCCACUAGCAGGAGGAAGCUCAGAAUUAGUUUUUCUACAACACUAGAGGAAUACUACUCAAAAAUAAAAAGGAAUUAACCAUUGAUACAUGCAACAACACAGAUGAAUCUCAAAGUAAUUGUGCUGAAAGAAACCAGACCCAGAAAAAGAUAAAUUCUAUAUGAUCUCAUUUAUAUAAGACUCUAGGAAAUGCAAACUAAUCUACACAUACAGAAAACUGAGGGCAGGUACUGAGAAGGGUAGGAGGGGGGCGUUACAGAGAGGCAUGAGGAAACUUUUUGGGGUGAUAGAUAUGUUUACUACUUUGAUUGUAAGGAUGAGGUCGCAACUCUGUGCGUGUCAGUGGUAUAUUUUAAUAUGAACGGCUUAUUUUAUGUAAAUUCUACCCCUAUAAAGCUGUUUUUUUUAAAAAAAAAAACUUCUCUUUGAGAGACAUCACCUUUGUCUUUUAAACCAUCUAAUGUUGAAUCUAAAAGUUCAGUGUAAAGUUUAAUAAAAUCAGAGUGUGUAUGUGUCUUAAUUUCCAGGACAUAUAAUCAUAGUGAUUAAGCCAAAAGUGCUUAUAUGAUUACCUAUAAACUAUCAUAGUUAAAUGACUAAAUACCCUGCAUAAGGUAAAAUGAUUAUUUUAUUCCUAUAGAUUGAAAUUGCCCAACUUUUUAUUAGAGAAUAAUAGAUUAGAGGGCAUGUUGGCUCAUACCUGUAAGCCCAAUGCUUUGGGAGGCUGAAGCGGGAGGAUCCCUUGAGGCCAGGAGUUGAAGAUCAGCUUGGGCAACAUAGCAAGACCACAUCUCUACAAAAAAAUUUAAAAUAAAAUGUUUAUCCAAGCAUAGUGGCACUCACUCACCUGUAGUACUAGCUGCUGAGGAAGCUGAGGCCUGGAGUUCAAACUGCACAACGCUGCACUUCAACCUAUGUGACAAAGUGAGAUCCUAUCUCUAAAAUAAUUAAUUCAGUUUUUAUAAUUAGGGAACAUUUAAAUUCAGAUUAUAAGUAAAAAAUGGAAUAAACAGUCCUGUUACCUGAUAUGGUUUGGAUCUCCAUCCCUACCCAAAUCUUAUGUUGAAAUGUAAUCCCCAAUGCUGGAGGUGGGGCCUGGUGGGAGAUGAUUGGAUCAUGGUGGUGGUUUCUCAUGGUUUAACACCAUCGUCCCCUGGUGCUGUCGCCGUGAUGAUGAAUUCUCACGAGAUCUGGUUGGUUUAAAAGUGUGUGGCACCUCCCCCUUCUCUCUUGCUCCUGCUCCUACCAUGUGAGAUGCCUUGGUCCCCCUUUGCCUUCCGCCAUGAUUCAGAGUUCUCUGAGGCCUCCCCAGAAGCAGAUGCUGCCAUGCUUUCUGUACAGCCUGCAGAACCGUAAGCCAAUUAAACCUCUUUUCUUAUACAUUACCCAGUGUCAGAUAUUUCUUUAUAGCAGUGUGAGAAUGGAUUAAUACACUACGUCAUGCAAAAUGUAAAAACAGGCAACUCACUGAGAGUAAACCUAAUCAACUUGUUCAUUUAGAUAUAAACUGUAGAGACGACACUGCCAUCUAGUUGUUGAAUACUGAGUAUACUGUUGAAACAUUCUUGACAAUGUUCUAUUUCUCUUUUGUAGACUUACAAGGAACACACAGAAGCCCCUAACCAAUUACAUCUCCUUCCUAGGAGUGUGAAUGUGACUGCCAUAGUGCAGCCCAUGCUGCCCCUGGUAAUUAUAUGCCUCAACCCAAGCAGGUGAUUAUGUAUCCUGUGACUACCUCAUGCUCAAGGCUCUUCCAUAUUACACAAACACACACACUCAUACUCAAAAGCAAAACAAAAAUAAAACAAUCUGCUUGAUCCCUGCCCUAUAGAGAUUAGUCUAGUCAGGGAAACAUACAACUAAGCAUUCGAAUACAGUGUAGUGGGUGCUACGAGAGCAGAAGUACAGAAAAUAUGUAAGCUCCAACAAGCACCAGCAGGAGUUAAAGGUUUAGGGAAAAUUAGUGGGAAGUUUAUCUAAAAUGAAAGCAGUGGAUAAGAGGAGAUGAGAUUCUGCAGUGUCCUGUAAGCUAUUUUAUUCUAGAAGCAGUGGAAAGCUUUGAACUUUUUGAAAGACCUUAAGCAAGGAAAGGAAGUAAUUAGAUUUGUAUGUCAGAAAUAAUAUUCUGGUUUUAGUAUACAGAAUGGAUUAAAAGGAGGUAAGAUUAGAGGCAGGGAGAGCUUGUUAAUUUAAGCAAGAGUAAUUUAAGCAAGAGAUGAUGGUACUAAGCUAGGAUUAUAAACAUGGAAAUGGAGAGAAGUUGGAGGGUUUGAAAGAUGUUCUGCAGAUAUAAUAAAUAUGACUUGCUGAAAGCCAACUGUGGAGAAUUAGGAAGAUGGAAACACCAAAGAUGACUUCCAUGUUUCUGACUUCACAACUGAGUGCAUGGUGGUGUCCAAAAAGUGGAGGAGCAGGUUUUGAGAUAAUAAAAUUCAUUUUUACUCCUAUUGAGCUGGAGGCACUCACGGUGUAUCUAAGAACAAACAUCUAUUUGACAACUGAAUAUAUGGUGUGAUGCUCACUAUAGAGAUCUGGACGCUUCAGCACAUACAUUAUCGCUGACACACUGGGGUAGACAUAAGGCACGCUGAGUCUAUUUCAGGAAAUGUGCCUAGACUUAAAAUAGAUAUGCACAUAGAGUGGAAGGAAGAAGAGUAGAGAAAAUUGAGAAGGAAUAGUUAAGGAGGCUCCCUACCUUCUCACUCCACCUCAGGCCGGCAAGCAGAACUUACUGUUACCCCCUUGGGCUCCCACUGUUUUCCAUCUAUGCAUCUACCAAGGCAUCUGUUAUGUCAUUGAAUAUACUUAUCUUUCUCUCUCCUUCUACUAAAUUAUAAGGAUCUUAGGGCAAGGAUCAUGUCAUAUUCAUAUUUGGAUUCCCAGGACUUAACAACAGUGCUUGGCAGAUAGUUUUUCUUACGACUUUUAUUUAAUAACUAAUGAUAGAAAAAAUUCAUUGAGUACUUUCUGUGUUCUAGGCACUUUAUAUACAAGGUCUGUUAUACUUGGGAUAUAUUAAGACUCAGAAAAUUUAAAUGACUUGUCCAAGAAGCUUCCAGGAUUCAGACCUGGCUCUGUAUGAGUCCAUGCUUUUUUUUCUACUGUAUCAUACUGUCUACAACAGACUGGUGAAUGAAAUCUAUCUUUAACAAAAGAGGAAAAAAGGAAUUGCAUCUUAUAUAAGGCACAGAUACUGAUUCUUAUGCUAAACACAGUGAAGUCCUGUAGAGAAAAUCCUUGGGUUCUGUCUCCUGGGGUUACAUGCCAUGUAUGCCAGAAAGUAUAGCAAGUAAAUGGCUGCAUGUCCUAAACCAUAAGGAAGUUCAUACAGACUAAGCAAAAUGCAACUAGUUACCAUUUUGCACAGCAGCUCUUGGAAGGAUCCAGCAGUUACCACUACACCAUGGAUCUAAGACACCCUCACAAAGAUAGGCCAAACACGGCCUGCGACCUUCACCUUGUAAGUUUUGCUCAAAAUAACUUGGCCAAAAGCUGAGAAACUUUAGUACCAUCUAAACUUUUCAUUCCAAUUAUGCUUGGUCACUGCUCAGAAGGCAGCUCCCUCUCAUCCAUCAGCUUCCUCUCAAUUCUUGUCUCCAAACUGUGUACUGGAUAGCAUCCUGUCAACACACAAUGCCCUCCCUCCAACCUUUCAAGUAUGGGCUUUGGCAACCUAUUCCACUAUAAAUAAAUCCACCUAUACACUCAGCGCUUAUAAAACCUUUAAUUCCUUUGAAGUUCAUUCCAUUCAAUUUUGUCACCCUUCACCUUGCUUUGUCCCUAAUACCUACAUCAUGUUAUUCCUUUAAACCCCAAAUUCAUUUAAUCAUUUCCUAGGAGAUUUCAACAUUCAUGUGGAAUGUCGGUUGAACAUCCAACCAUCACAGUUCCAACGCCAGUUCAACCUCAUUCCCUUGGUCACACUCCCCACUUUGUUAUGGAGCGGUUCUGGUGAUUUUCAUACCCUUAUGCUUCCAUUCAUAUUACCCACAGUGCACCUGAUCAUUAACCUCAUUGAGACCUCCAUUCCUAUAAUGCCACCUCUUCUUCCAGUUUAUUCUUGAUCCCGCUUCCUUCUGUAUCUGGCCUCAAUCUCUUAAAUUGGUCAUAUGACCUGCUCUAGUGCUUUUCUUUUUCUUUUUUUUCUUUUUUUUUGAGACAAGGUCUUGCUCUGUCGUCCAAGCUGGAGUGCAGUGGCCCGAUCUUGGCUCACUGCAACCUUCACUUCCGGGGUUCAAGCCAUCCUCCCAUCUCAGCCUCCUGAGUAGCUGGGACUACAGGAGCUCACCACCACACUUGGCAAAUUUUUGUGUUUUUUGUAGAGAUGGAGUGUUGUCCAGGCUGGUCUCAAACUCUUGAGCUCAAGCAAUCCUCUUGCCUCAGCCUUCCAAAGUGUUGGGAUUACAGGCAUAAGCCACCAAGGCUGGCCUCGUCAGUGCUUUCAAUUACCCUCCAUAUUUUUCCAUCCCUGGGUUAUCUCUUCCAACUCACAUUUCUAUAUCCUGCCUGGCACAAAUGCUCUCAAUUCUCUUCUAUCCUUAUCUUUCUCCUAUAUCCAUUAUCCAAAUCACAAUUCUGGAUCAGUCCUAUAAUCUACCUGGCCCUGUAAGCCAUUCAGAUGAGAUGCUAGAAACAAUCACAAAAUCACCAUACUUUCAUGAUUUCCAAAUUCAGUUCCAUGGUUAACCCUGUUCAUUACUGUUUUUGUGUUUCAUCAGCUCUAUUCCAAACCAUCUCUAUUCUCUUCAAGCCUCUAAACUAACCUUUUGCACCCUCCUACUUCAUAAGUAAUAUCACCUAUCACUUCCUACUUCACAAAAAAUUUGGAGAACAUCUAAUAUAAAUCUCUCCUUUCACAUCUACAAACUUAUAACGAUUCCCUUCCUUCUAGUUUUGAGAAAAGGUGUGAAGGUGUGUUUUCCUUUUUUUUUUUUUUUUUGAGAUGGAGUCUCAUUGUAGUGCAGUGGCACGAUCUCGGCUCACUCCAGCCUCCACCUUCCGGGCUCAAGCAAUUCUCCUGCUUCAGCCUCCCGAGUAGAUGGGAUUACAGGCGCCUGCCACCAUGCCCGGCUAAUUUGUGUGUGUGUGGUUUCGUUUGUUUUUUUGAGAUGGAGUUUUGCUCUUGUUGCCCAGGCUGGAGUGCAAUGGUGUGAUCUUGGCUCACUGCAACCUCCGCCUCCUGGGUUCAAGCAAUUCUGCCUCAGUCUCCCAAGUGACUGGGAUUUCAGGCAUGCACCACCACGCCCGGCUAAUUUUGUAUUUUUAGUAGAGAUGGGGUUUCUCCAUGUUGGUCAGGCUGGUCUCGAACUCCUGACCACAGGUGAUGGGCCCGCCUCGGUCUCCCAAAGUGCUGGGAUUACAGGCGUGAGCCACUGUGCCCAGCCCCUAAAUCACCUAAUUCUUUAAUCUGAGCCCCAGUCUCAUUUCUCAGAUUCUGUUUAUACUAGGCUACAUAAAGCUCCUGAAUACACUAUUGUUUCACAUACCUAAAUUCAACAUUCUCUGAAGCUCUUCCUAGCCUAUCCAAACAGAGAUGAGUGCUGACUCCCAGGAGUUUAGAUAUUGCUGUUGCAUUCACUUCUUGUCUGUCUCCUUUAGGAGCUUGUGAAAAAUGUGAGAGAAAGGACAAUGUCAUGUACCCCCAGUGUGAAGUAUAGCACCUGGAGAUAGCAGGCAUUCAAUAACUACUGGAUGGAUGGAGGCAUUAUGAAGUUUGCCAAGUUUGUUAACACUACUAAAGGUUUCAAUGAAUGUAAAAACAGUGGCAGAUGGGUGGUUUUCUUGACUGUGGGAAAGGUAAAAUAGUAUAAAGUACUAGCAAGUAUAAACACAGGCAUACCUCAUUUUAUUGCAUUUUGCUUUACUGUACUUUGCAGAUACUGCAUUUUUUACAAAUUAAAGGUUUAUGGCAACCCUCCAACAAACAAGUCUGUUAAUGCCACCCCAAAGUCAUGUGCUCAUUUUGUGUCUCUGUGUCACAUUUUGGUAAUUCCUGCAAUAUUUCAAACUUUGUAUUAUUAUUAUUUCUGUUACAGUGAUCUGUGGUCAGUGAUCUUUGAUGUUACUAUUUUGACCGUUUGUGGGCACCACAAACUGUGCCCAUAUAACAUCAGCGAACUUAAUAAAUGGUGUGUGUGUUCGGACUGCUCUACCAACCGGCCAUCCCCCUAUCUUUCUCCCUCUCCUCAAACCUCCUUAUUCCCUGAGACACAAUACUGAAAUCAGGCCAAUUAAUCACCCUGCAAUGGCCUCCCAGUGUUCAAGUUAAAAGAAGACUUGUACAUCUCUCAUUGUAAAUCAAAAGCUAGAAAUGGUUAAGCUUAAUGAAGAGGCAUGUCAAAAGCCAAGACAGGCUAAAAAAGCUAGGGUCUUGUGCCAAACCAUUAAUUCUUGAAGGAAAUUAGAAGUGUUACUCCAGUAAACACCUAAGAAAACCUUAUUGCUGAUACGGAGAAAAAGUUUUAGUGGUCUGGAUAGAAAAUCAAACCAGCCACAACAUUCCCUUAGGCCAAAGCCUAAUCCAGAGCAAGGUUCUAAAUUCAAUUCUAUGAAGACUGAGAGGUAAGGAAGCUACAGAAGUUUGAAGCUAGUAGAGGUUGGUUUAUGAGGUUUAAAGAAAGAAGUCAUCUCCAUAAAUAAAAGUGCAAGGUGAAGCAGAAAGUGCUGAUGUAGAAGCUGCAGGAGUUUAUCCAGAUCCAGCUAAGACCAUUGUUAAAGGUGGCUAUACUCAGUAACAGAUUUUCAAUGUAGAUGUAACAAGCCUUUUAUUGGAAGAAGCCACCUUAGACUUUCACCGCUACAGAGAAGUCAGUGCCUGGCUUCAAAUCUUCCAAGAACCGGCUGACUUGUUAAAAGCUAAUGCUGCUGGUGACUUUAUAUUGAAGCCAAUGCUCAUUUGCCAUUCUGAAAAUCCUAGGGCCCUUAACAAUUAUGCUAAAUCUACUCUGCCUGUACUCUAUAAAUGGGACAAAGCCUGGAAGACAGCACAUCUGUUUACAGCAUGAUUUACUGAAUAUUUUAAGCCCACCAUUGAGAUCUACUGCACAAAAAGAUUCCUUUCAAAAUAUUGCUGCUCAUUAACAAUCAUCUCGUAUCCCAAGAGCUCAGACGGAGAUGGACAACGAGAUUCAUGCUGUUUUCAAGCCUGCUAACACAAUGUCCACUCUAUAGCCCAUAGACCAUGGAGCAAUUUCAACUUUCAAGUCUUAUGAUUUAAGAAAUACAUGUUGUAAGGCUAUUGCUGCCAUAAAUAGUGAUUUCUCUGAUGGAUCUGUGCAAAGUAAAUUGAAAACUUUCUGGAAAGGAUUCACUAUUCUAGAUAUCAAUAAGAACAUUCAUGAUUCAUGGGAUGAGGGCAAAAUAUCAUUUACUGGAGUUUAGAAGUUGUUUCCUGUCCUCAGAGAUGACUUUUAAGGGUUCAAGACUUCAAUGGAGGAAGUAACUGCAGAUGUGGUAGAAAUUGCAAGAUAACUAGAAUUAGGCCAGGUGUGGUGGCUCAAGCCUAUAAUCCCAGCACUUUGGGAGGCUAAAGUGGGCAGAUCGCUUGAGGCCAGGAGUUUGAGACCAGCCUGGAGUGAAACCCUGUCUCUACAAAAAAUGCAAAAAAUUAGCCAGGCAUGGUGGCGUGUACCUGUAGUCCCAGCUACUCUAGAGGCUAAAGUGGGAGGAUCACUUGGGCCCAAGAGGUAGAGGCUGCAGUGAGCUGUGAUGGUGCCACUGCACUCCAGCCCGGGGGCAGAGCAAGACCCUAUCUCAAAAAGAAAAAAGGCCAGACGUGGUGGCUCAUGCCUGUAACUCCAGCACUUUGGGAGGCCAAGGCGGGAAGAUCAUUUGAGCUCAGAAGUUCAAGACCAACCUGGGCAACAUGGCAAAAUCCUGUCUCUACUAAAAAUACAAAAAUUAGCCAGGUGUAGUGGCACGCACCUGCAGUCUUAGUUCUUGGGAGGG
rnacentral:lncRNA from 10 species